UACGUAGGGUCCGAGCGUUGUCCGGAGUUACUGGGCGUAAAGCGCGCGCAGGCGGCGGUGCUGGCCCGGCGUGAAAGCCCCCGGCUCAACCGGGGAGGGUCGUCGGGGACCACACCGCUUGAGGGCGGUAGGGGCUGGUGGAAUGCCUGGUGUAGUGGUGAAAUGCGUAGAGAUCAGGCGGAACACCCGUGGCGAAGGCGGCCAGCUGGGCCGUCCCUGACGCUGAGGCGCGAAGGCGUGGGGAGCGAACGGG
rnacentral:rRNA from 1 species